rnacentral:rRNA from 1 species
GAUCCUGGCUCAGGACGAACGCUGGCGGCGUGCCUAAUACAUGCAAGUAGAACGCUGAAGGAGGAGCUUGCUUCUCUGGAUGAGUUGCGAACGGGUGAGUAACGCGUAGGUAACCUGCCUGGUAGCGGGGGAUAACUAUUGGAAACGAUAGCUAAUACCGCAUAAUAUUGACUAUUGCAUGAUAGUCAAUUAAAAGGUGCAAUUGCAUCACUACCAGAUGGACCUGCGUUG